rnacentral:rRNA from 1 species
CGUAGCAUAUAGCUCAGUAACACGUGGCCAAACUACCCUACAGACCGCGAUAACCUCGGGAAACUGAGGCCAAUAGCGGAUAUCACUCUCAGACUGGAGUGUCGAGAGUGAGAAACGUUCCGGCGCUGUAGGAUGUGGCUGCGGCCGAUUAGGUAGAUGGUGGGGUAACGGCCCACCAUGCCGAUAAUCGGUACAGGUUGUGAGAGCAAGAGCCUGGAGACGGUAUCUGAGACAAGAUACCGGGCCCUACGGGGCGCAGCAGGCGCGAAACCUUUACACUGCACGACAGUGCGAUAGGGGGACUCCGAGUGUGAGGGCAUAUAGCCCUCGCUUUUCUGUACCGUAAGGUGGUACAGGAACAAGGACUGGGCAAGACCGGUGCCAGCCGCCGCGGUAAUACCGGCAGUCCAAGUGAUGGCCGAUAUUAUUGGGCCUAAAGCGUCCGUAGCUUGCUGUGUAAGUCCAUUGGGAAAUCGACCAGCUCAACUGGUCGGCGUCCG